rnacentral:rRNA from 1 species
GAUGAACGCUGGCGGCGUGCCUAAUACAUGCAAGUCGAGCGAACGGACGAGAAGCUUGCUUUUCUGAUGUUAGCGGCGGACGGGUGAGUAACACGUGGAUAACCUACCUAUAAGACUGGGAUAACUUCGGGAAACCGGAGCUAAUACCGGAUAAUAUUUUGAACCGCAUGGUUCAAAAGUGAAAGACGGUCUUGCUGUCACUUAUAGAUGGAUCCGCGCUGCAUUAGCUAGUUGGUAAGGUAACGGCUUACCAAGGCAACGAUGCAUAGCCGACCUGAGAGGGUGAUCGGCCACACUGGAACUGAGACACGGUCCAGACUCCUACGGGAGGCAGCAGUAGGGAAUCUUCCGCAAUGGGCGAAAGCCUGACGGAGCAACGCCGCGUGAGUGAUGAAGGUCUUCGGAUCGUAAAACUCUGUUAUUAGGGAAGAACAUAUGUGUAAGUAACUGUGCACAUCUUGACGGUACCUAAUCAGAAAGCCACGGCUAACUACGUGCCAGCAGCCGCGGUAAUACGUAGGUGGCAAGCGUUAUCCGGAAUUAUUGGGCGUAAAGCGCGCGUAGGCGGUUUUUUAAGUCUGAUGUGAAAGCCCACGGCUCAACCGUGGAGGGUCAUUGGAAACUGGAAAACUUGAGUGCAGAAGAGGAAAGUGGAAUUCCAUGUGUAGCGGUGAAAUGCGCAGAGAUGUGGAGGAACACCAGUGGCGAAGGCGACUUUCUGGUCUGUAACUGACGCUGAUGUGCGAAAGCGUGGGGAUCAAACAGGAUUAGAUACCCUGAUAGUCCACGCCGUAAACGAUGAGUGCUAAGUGUUAGGGGGUUUCCGCCCCUUAGUGCUGCAGCUAACGCAUUAAGCACUCCGCCUGGGGAGUACGACCGCAAGGUUGAAACUCAAAGGAAUUGACGGGGGCCCGCACAAGCGGUGGAGCAUGUGGUUUAAUUCGAAGCAACGCGAAGAACCUUACCAAAUCUUGACAUCCUUUGACAACUCUAGAGAUAGAGCCUUCCCCUUCGGGGGACAAAGUGACAGGUGGUGCAUGGUUGUCGUCAGCUCGUGUCGUGAGAUGUUGGGUUAAGUCCCGCAACGAGCGCAACCCUUAAGCUUAGUUGCCAUCAUUAAGUUGGGCACUCUAAGUUGACUGCCGGUGACAAACCGGAGGAAGGUGGGGAUGACGUCAAAUCAUCAUGCCCCUUAUGAUUUGGGCUACACACGUGCUACAAUGGACAAUACAAAGGGCAGCGAAACCGCGAGGUCAAGCAAAUCCCAUAAAGUUGUUCUCAGUUCGGAUUGUAGUCUGCAACUCGACUACAUGAAGCUGGAAUCGCUAGUAAUCGUAGAUCAGCAUGCUACGGUGAAUACGUUCCCGGGUCU